AGCAGCCGCGGUAAUUCCAGCUCCAAUAGCGUAUAUUAAAGUUGUUGCAGUUAAAAAGCUCGUAGUUGAAUUUCGAGACCAGUAUGUCGGUCGUGCCUCGGUACGUACUUGCAUUAUUGGUUUCUCCCUUCUGACGAACCUCGAUGCCAUUAAUUUGGUGUCGUGGGGAAUCAGGACUGUUACUUUGAAAAAUUAGAGUGUUUAAAGCAGGCACGCGCUUGAAUACAUUAGCAUGGAAUAAUGAAAUAGGACGUUUGAUUCUAUUUUGUUGGUUUCUAGGAUCGACGUAAUGAUUAAUAGGGAUAGUUGGGGGCAUUAGUAUUCAAUUGUCAGAGGUGAAAUUCUUGGAUUUAUUGAAGACUAACUACUGCGAAAGCAUUUGCCAAGGAUGUUUUCAUUAAUCAAGAACGAAAGUUAGGGGAUCGAAGACGAUCAGAUACCGUCGUAGUC
rnacentral:rRNA from 1 species